CUUGAUGGCGCCCAGCAUCAUCGGCUGGCCCUCGGGACGCUCCUGACCGUAGGUGGCCAGCAGCGCCUGCGCCUC
rfam:Streptomyces violaceusniger Tu 4113, complete genome.